rnacentral:lncRNA from 1 species
GUUGGGUCCUCAGCCUGUUCAGCUGGGGGAAGAGAGCGGUACAGAAGAUGGGCAGGGAAGGCAAGGCAAGGCAAAGCAAGAUCAAGAUGCUGUGCUGCAGGGCCAGAAGAAUUGGAAGAGAUUUAGAUGACCUGAGUCUGGAUUUUAGAGCUAAGGAUCUCUUCUUCUAGCAAGUCCUAGCUGAAGAAGAAUUGUUGAACAACCCUGUUGCUGUCCUGAAGGCUGUGAAGAUACAGCAGAGUUGCUGAAGAUACCAGAGAUAAAUAUCAUCCUCUUGUCUCUCCUAUGUUUAUCUCCUUUUCUCUAAACUCUUUGUUUUAUUUUUAUUGGGAUUUUCUUUGGAUUAACCCUAUUAAAUACAUCACUAGCCCUGAAAUUUGC